AUACGGAGGGUGCGAGCGUUAAUCGGAAUUACUGGGCGUAAAGCGCUCGUAGGCGGCUUGUUAAGUCGGAUGUGAAAUCCCCGGGCUCAACCUGGGAACUGCAUUCGAUACUGGCAAGCUAGAGUAUAGUAGAGGCAAGUGGAAUUCCGGGUGUAGCGGUGAAAUGCGUAGAUAUCCGGAGGAACAUCAGUGGCGAAGGCGACUUGCUGGACUAAUACUGACGCUGAGGAGCGAAAGCGUGGGGAGCAAACGGGAUUAGAUACCCCAGUAGUCC
rnacentral:rRNA from 1 species